GGGGGUGAGUACGUGUUGGUCCCCUGCCUGGGAGCGGGGGAUAACUAUUGAAAACGAUAGCUUAUCCCGAAUAAGAGAAGAUGUUGCAUGACAUUUGCUUGGAGGUGCAAUUGCAUCCGUACCAGAUGGACCUGAGUUGUAUUAGCUAGUUGGUGGGGUAACGGCUCACCUAAGCAACCAUACAUAGCCGACCUGAGAGGGUGAUCGGCCACGCUGGGACUGAAACCCCGCCCAGACUCCUACGGGAAGCAACACUAUGGAAUCUUCUGCAAUGGACGGAAACCUGACCGAGCCACGCCGCGUGAGUGAAGAACGUUUUCGGAUCCUAAAACUCUGUAGUAAGAAAAGAAUGAGUGUGAGAGUGGACCCUCACACUGUGACGGUAUCUUACCAGAAAGGGACUGCUCACUACGUGCCACCAAACGCGGUAAUACUAAAGUCCUUUCGCGUUGUUCGGAUUUAUUGGGAGUAACGCGAGUUCAGGCGUCUAAAGUCUCUGAAGCUAAUGGCUGUUUCUUAAUCAUAGUACACUUUGGAAAAAUGUUUAAACUUGAGUACAGGGGGGAACGAGUGUAUUUCCAUGUGUAGCGAUGAUAUGCAGUAGAACUUAUGGGGGAACACGUGUGUCGAACGCCGCUCUCUGGUAUGCAAACUGAAUCUGAGGCUUAAAAGCCCGGGUUACACACCAGGAUUACAAACCCCUGCAACUUCCCCGCCGGUA
rnacentral:rRNA from 1 species